AUGCAAGUCGAGCGGGGGAGGUUGCUUCGGUAACUGACCUAGCGGCGGACGGGUGAGUAAUGCUUAGGAAUCUGCCUAUUAGUGGGGGACAACGUUUCGAAAGGGACGCUAAUACCGCAUACGUCCUACGGGAGAAAGCAGGGGACCUUCGGGCCUUGCGCUAAUAGAUGAGCCUAAGUCGGAUUAGCUAGUUGGUGGGGUAAAGGCCUAGCAAGGCGACGAUCUGUAGCGGGUCUGAGAGGAUGAUCCGCCACACUGGGACUGAGACACGGCCCAGACUCCUACGGGAGGCAGCAGUGGGGAAUAUUGGACAAUGGGGGGAACCCUGAUCCAGCCAUGCCGCGUGUGUGAAGAAGGCCUUUUGGUUGUAAAGCACUUUAAGCGAGGAGGAGGCUACUUAGAUUAAUACUCUGGGAUAGUGGACGUUACUCGCAGAAUAAGCACCGGCUAACUCUGUGCCAGCAGCCGCGGUAAUACAGAGGGUGCGAGCGUUAAUCGGAUUUACUGGGCGUAAAGCGUGCGUAGGCGGCUUUUUAAGUCGGAUGUGAAAUCCCUGAGCUUAACUUAGGAAUUGCAUUCGAUACUGGGAAGCUAGAGUAUGGGAGAGGAUGGUAGAAUUCCAGGUGUAGCGGUGAAAUGCGUAGAGAUCUGGAGGAAUACCGAUGGCGAAGGCAGCCAUCUGGCCUAAUACUGACGCUGAGGUACGAAAGCAUGGGGAGCAAACAGGAUUAGAUACCCUGGUAGUCCAUGCCGUUAACGAUGUCUACUAGCCGUUGGGGCCUUUGAGGCUUUAGUGG
rnacentral:rRNA from 1 species